CCUUCCUCUUCCUCCUCUUUGUCUGUUGCUCUGCCUUUUUCCAGGGGUGUGUUUCGCCGAGAUGCAAACAAGAGUGAGAUUGCUCAUCGGUUUAAUGAUUUGGGAGAACAACAUUUCAAAGGCCUAGUCCUGGUCAUCUUUUCCCAGUAUCUACAGAAAA